ACCGGAGCUUGCUCUGGUGGGAUUAGUGGCGAACGGGUGAGUAACACGUGAGCAAUCUGCCCCCGACUCUGGGAUAACCCCGAGAAAUCGGAGCUAAUACCGGAUACGACACCUCCUGGCAUCAGGUGGGUGUGGAAAGAAUUUCGGUUGGGGAUGAGCUCGCGGCCUAUCAGCUCGUUGGUGAGGUAAUGGCUCACCAAGGCGACGACGGGUAGCCGGCCUGAGAGGGUGACCGGCCACACUGGGACUGAGACACGGCCCAGACUCCUACGGGAGGCAGCAGUGGGGAAUAUUGCACAAUGGGCGCAAGCCUGAUGCAGCAACGCCGCGUGGGGGACGAAGGCCUUCGGGUUGUAAACCUCUUUUGGCAGGGAAGAAGCGAAAGUGACGGUACCUGCAGAAAAAGCACCGGCUAACUACGUGCCAGCAGCCGCGGUAAUACGUAGGGUGCAAGCGUUGUCCGGAAUUAUUGGGCGUAAAGAGCUCGUAGGCGGUGUGUCACGUCUGCUGUGAAAAUCCAAGGCUCAACCUUGGACUUGCAGUGGGUACGGGCACACUCGAGUGCGGUAGGGGAGAUUGGAAUUCCUGGUGUAGCGGUGGAAUGCGCAGAUAUCAGGAGGAACACCGAUGGCGAAGGCAGAUCUCUGGGCCGUAACUGGCGCUGAGGAGCGAAAGCGUGGGGAGCGAACAGGAUUAGAUACCCUGGUAGUCCACGCCGUAAACGGUGGGAACUAGAUGUGGGGUCCGUUCCACGGAUUCCGUGUCGCAGCUAACGCAUUAAGUUCCCCGCCUGGGGAGUACGGCCGCAAGGCUAAAACUCAAAGGAAUUGACGGGGGCCCGCACAAGCGGCGGAGCAUGCGGAUUAAUUCGAUGCAACGCGAAGAACCUUACCAAGGCUUGACAUAUAGAAGGAAAAGUGCAGAGAUGCACUCCCCGCAAGGUCUCUAUACAGGUGGUGCAUGGUUGUCGUCAGCUCGUGUCGUGAGAUGUUGGGUUAAGUCCCGCAACGAGCGCAACCCUCGUCCUAUGUUGCCAGCACGUAAAGGUGGGAACUCAUGGGAGACUGCCGGGGUCAAUUCGGAGGAAAGGGGGGGGAUGACGUCAAAUCAUCAU
rnacentral:rRNA from 1 species